rnacentral:rRNA from 1 species
AUUGAACGCUGGCGGCAGGCUUAACACAUGCAAGUCGAGCGAGCGGCGGACGGGUGAGUAAUGUCUGGGAAACUGCCUGAUGGAGGGGGAUAACUACUGGAAACGGUAGCUAAUACCGCAUACCAUCAGAUGUGCCCAGAUGGGAUUAGCUAGUAGGGGGGGUAAUGGCUCACCUAGGCGACUAUCCCUAGCUGGUCUUAGAGGAUGACCAGCCACACUGGAACUGAAACAAGGUCCAGACCCCUACGGGCGGCAGCAGUGGGGAAUAUUGCACAAUGGGCGCAAGCCUGAUGCAGCCAUGCCGCGUGUGUGAAGAAAGCCUUCGUGUUGUAAAGCACUUUCAGCGGGGAGGCGUUACUCGCAGAAGACGCACCGGCUAACUCCGUGACAGCAGCCGCGGUAAUAC